rnacentral:rRNA from 1 species
UACGGGGGGGGCAAGCGUUGUCCGGAUUUAUUGGGCGUAAAGAGCGUGUAGGCGGCUAGGUAGGUCCGUUGUGAAAACUCGAGGCUCAACCUCGAGACGUCGAUGGAAACCAUCUAGCUAGAGUCCGGAAGAGGAGAGUGGAAUUCCUGGUGUAGCGGUGAAAUGCGCAGAUAUCAGGAAGAACACCCGUGGCGAAGGCGGCUCUCUGGUACGUGACUGACGCUGAGACGCGAAAGCGUGGGGAGCAAACAGG